GACGAACGCUGGCGGCGUGCUUAACACAUGCAAGUCGAACGAAGUGGCGAACGGGUGAGUAACGCGUAAUCAACCUGCCCUUCAGAGGGUGACAACAGUUGGAAAUGACUGCUAAUACCGCAUACUGAAGGAGGGGAUUGCGUUUGUUUAGCUCGUUGGAGGGGUAACGGCCCACCAAGGCGAUGCUCAGUAGCCGGUCUGGGAGGAUGAACGGCCAAAUUGGGAAUGAGAAACGGCCCAGAAUCCUACGGGAGGGAGCAGGGGGGAAUCUUACGAAAUGGACGAAAGUCUGACGGAGCAACGCCGCGUGAGUGAUGACGGCCUUCGGGUUGUAAAGCUCUGUUAAUCGGGACGCGGUACCGGAAUAGAAAGCCACGGCUAACUACGUGCCAGCAGCCGCGGUAAUUC
rnacentral:rRNA from 1 species